GGAUAACAUACCGAAAGGUAUGCUAAUACGGGAUAAUAUAUUUGAGAGGCAUCUCUUAAAUAUCAAAGGUGAGCCAGUACAGGAUGGACCCGCGUCUGAUUAGCUAGUUGGUAAGGUAACGGCUUACCAAGGCGACGAUCAGUAGCCGACCUGAGAGGGUGAUCGGCCACAUUGGAACUGAGACACGGUCCAGACUCCUACGGGAGGCAGCAGUGGGGAAUAUUGCACAAUGGGCGAAAGCCUGAUGCAGCAACGCCGCGUGAGUGAUGAAGGCCUUCGGGUCGUAAAACUCUGUCCUCAAGGGAGAUAAUGACGGUACUUGAGGAGGAAGCCCCGGCUAACUACGUGCCAGCAGCCGCGGUAAUACGUAGGGGGCUAGCGUUAUCCGGAUUUACUGGGCGUAAAGGGUGCGUAGGCGGUCUUUCAAGUCAGGAGUGAAAGGCUACGGCUCAACCGUAGUAAGCUCUUGAAACUGGGAGACUUGAGUGCAGGAGAGGAGAGUGGAAUUCCUAGUGUAGCGGUGAAAUGCGUAGAUAUUAGGAGGAACACCAGUUGCGAAGGCGGCUCUCUGGACUGUAACUGACGCUGAGGCACGAAAGCGUGGGGAGCAAACAGGAUUAGAUACCCUGGUAGUCCACGCUGUAAACGAUGAGUACUAGGUGUCGGGGGUUACCCCCUUCGGUGCCGCAG
rnacentral:rRNA from 1 species